rnacentral:rRNA from 1 species
UGCUCCAAANCUUNUGGCGAACGGGUGAGUAAAGUAUCGGAACGUACCAUUCAGUGGGGGAUAACGUAGCGAAAGUUACGCUAAUACCGCAUAUUCUGUGAGCAGGAAAGCAGGGGAUCGCAAGACCUUGCGCUGAUUGAGCGGCCGAUAUCANAUUAGCUAGUUGGUAGGGUAAAAGCCUACCAAGGCGACGAUCUGUAGCGGGUCUGANAGGAUGAUCCNCCACACUGGGACUGANACACGGCCCANACUCCUACGGGAGGCAGCAGUGGGGAAUUUUGGACAAUGGGGGCAACCCUGAUCCAGCCAUGCCGCGUGAGUGAAGAAGGCCUUCGGGUUGUAAAGCUCUUUCGCGAGGGAAGAAAGCGCACUCGAUAAUACCGGGUGUGGAUGACGGUACCUUGAUAAGAAGCACCGGCUAACUACGUGCCAGCAGCCGCGGUAAUACGUAGGGUGCGAGCGUUAAUCGGAAUUACUGGGCGUAAAGCGUGCGCAGGCGGUUUUGUAAGACAGGCGUGAAAUCCCCGGGCUCAACCUGGGAAUGGCGUUUGUGACUGCAAGGCUANAGUAUGGCANAGGGGGGUANAAUUCCCC